AGCCUGUUUCUGCCUAUCACCAUGAGUGAUUCCUCAAUACUCAGAUUUAUCAUCAAGAUCUCAAUUAUAAGCUCAAGUUUUGAUGACAACUUGGUGAUCUGCAGAAAGCCCCACCAUGUAAGGAAGGCCAAGACCACUCUGGAAUCAGUCAAGGGUGAAAUGGAGUGAGGCAUACCAGGAUAUGCCUGGUUUUACUUUUGGGAAGGAGGUUGAACAGUGCAAUAUUUCUUCUAUAGGAUUGCAGUGACCAGACAUGCUACUGUAACUCUCAUGGUCAUGUGCUGGAAUUAGCAGAUAUUCAACAAUUUGGCCAUCUCGCUGACCUGUUGAUAUCAGAAGACCGCAACAGCUCUACAAAGCAAGUUGCAAAACAGAAUCCAUGAAACUGGCAGUGACUGGAAACCAAUUGGAAGACUUUGGUCUGUGAUGUAGAGGAGUGGGCAGAGGCAGAAGCAAAGACAACAAAAAACAGAAGUGAUAUGGAUGUCUUUGUCAUAUUGCAUGACUCUGCUGACCCAGCAACAAAGAGGAGGGUGUUCAACAUCAUCCUGCUGGUCAGGAUUCUUCAGGAGAAGCAGUGGAUUCUUGUGGCAGAGAUGUUCAACCACUAUAAAUACCUUUCAACUCAUCCUGGUUCUUUCAAAGAACUUUCUUGCUUGUUUGCUACUGAAAUAUUCGACAUGUGCCCUUAACGAAGAGGGGUUAAAAGGUCUAUGGAUCAUCAUUCUCAAAAAGCAACAAAAUAACUGAGAAAUAAACAACAAUACGAUGGUGCAAUCUAGAGACCUGCAAGGUACCUGCAAGUUUUGGCUGGAGCAGAGAACAU
rnacentral:lncRNA from 1 species